rnacentral:rRNA from 1 species
CAAUGGGCGCAAGCCUGAUGGAGCAACACCGCGUGAGUGAAGAAGGGUUUCGGCUCGUAAAGCUCUGUUGUUGGAGAAGAACGUGCGUGAGAGUAACUGUUCACGCAGUGACGGUAUCCAACCAGAAAGUCACGGCUAACUACGUGCCAGCAGCCGCGGUAAUACGUAGGUGGCAAGCGUUAUCCGGAUUUAUUGGGCGUAAAGCGAGCGCAGGCGGUUACUUAGGUCUGAUGUGAAAGCCUUCGGCUUAACCGAAGAAGUGCAUCGGAAACCGGGCGACUUGAGUGCAGAAGAGGACAGUGGAACUCCAUGUGUAGCGGUGGAAUGCGUAGAUAUAUGGAAGAACACCAGUGGCGAAGGCGGCUGUCUGGUCUGCAACUGACGCUGAGGCUCGAAAGCAUGGGUAGCGAACAGGAUUAGAUACCCUGGUAGUCCAUGCCGUAAACGAUGAGUGUUAGGUGUUGGAGGGUUUCCGCCCUUCAGUGCCGGAGCUAACGCAUUAAGCACUCCGCCUGGGGAGUACGACCGCAAGGUUGAAACUCAAAGGAAUUGACGGGGGCCCGCACAAGCGGUGGAGCAUGUGGUUUAAUUCGAAGCUACGCGAAGAACCUUACCAGGUCUUGACAUCUUGCGCUAACCUUAGAGAUAAGGCGUUCCCUUCGGGGACGCAAUGACAGGUGGUGCAUGGUCGUCGUCAGCUCGUGUCGUGAGAUGUUGGGUUAAGUCCCGCAACGAGCGCAACCCUUGUUACUAGUUGCCAGCAUUAAGUUGGGCACUCUAGUGAGACUGCCGGUGACAAACCGGAGGAAGGUGGGGACGACGUCAGAUCAUCAUGCCCCUUAUGACCUGGGCUACACACGUGCUACAAUGGACGGUACAACGAGUUGCAAACUCGCGAGAGCAAGCUAAUCUCUUAAAGCCGUUCUCAGUUCGGACUGUAGGCUGCAACUCGCCUACACGAAGUCGGAAUCGCUAGUAAUCGCGGAUCAGCAUGCUGCGGUGAAUACGUUCCCGGGCCU